rnacentral:rRNA from 1 species
GACGAAGGACCCGAGCGUUAUCCGGAUUCAUUGGGUUUAAAGGGUGCGUAGGCGGACUGAUAAGUCAGUGGUGAAAGCCUGUUGCUUAACAACAGAACUGCCAUUGAUACUGCCAGUCUUGAAUAUGUUUGAUGUGGGCGGAAUAUGACAUGUAGCGGUGAAAUGUUUAGAUAUGUCAUAGAACACCGAUUGCGAAGGCAGCUCACAAAGCCAUUAUUGACGCUGAGGCACGAAAGCGUGGGGAUCAAACAGG